CAGCCCACAGCCUGAAAGGCCACUCUCACCAUGCACCCCCAACAGAACAGGAUUUAUUUACAGGCAGCGGGUGAGCAGGGCUGAGAACUUGCCCCAGGUUACAAGCCUCCCAGCUGAGAAAACAAGCAGACUCACAGUUCCUUGGCAGUCCCAUGCAGCCUGCAGUGGCAAUCUACCUCCUUUAAAGGGUCUGUGGAUUCUCAUUCUCUUGGCUUUCCUGGUAUGUUCCCUCGGUAGUUCUUAGAGCAAAAGUUCACGUGAGUGUCCACCUGCUGCUCUGUCCAGCCGAAUGGGAGCUGCAAGUUAUUCUUGCCUCCUAUCCACCAUUUUUAUAUGAGUCUCCACCAGGUUUCCAUAUUUCUAAGAAAAUAACAUGGAAAGAAACUGUUUCUCAUCUUCUCUGGGGCACUUUGAAUCUGGAUGAGUUGCUGGGAACUGCAGCUCUCCUGCCUCCGGACAUCAGGCUAUGUGAGAAAAUGUAUUUCCUCAUUGCUUAAAAAGCAGAAAGUGGCUGGAUUCCCCAGUGCUCUCCAUUCCUCUGAUGCUCCUGGACACCCAUGGUGCUAACAAGCUUUGGCCAGUAGGCUGCUUUCUGAGACGAAUGAUUGUAACUGUUCGGGCAGGGUGAGGCAAGAGGAACGUACAGUUACAGAAUCCAUGGGCAAAGCAUCUCAGGGCCAGAAGCGAGCCCGAGGGCACUGUGUAGGCCUUGAUCAGUUUAGCAAUUUCUACGAUUCCGACAUCCUCUUUCUGUUCUUUCCGGACUCAGGCAUCCAAGGUCACCUCAUUAUGGCUCUGUGCGAAGACAGCACCCCAAAGGGGCCAUCGGUUUGGAACAUCUGAUCGGCUUUCUGAGUCAGAUCCACUAGCUCGUAAAAUCCAAUAAAUGUCAAAGAUAUGUCAGGCCCAUUAACCUCUGGAGGUCUAUU